AAUAAAUAUGAUUUGUAUGGUUCCUUCAUUCCUUCUUCCUAUUGUGUGAGAAAUAACCAUCGAACCUUCAUUUCCAAUUCCCGAGGUUUUUGCUGGAUCCAAAUCCUUCUCUAUUUGGUGUUCCUUCACAAUCACACCCACUAUACCCUUCAAUCAAUUACCCAAUCACUCACAAUUACAAGGUUUUUGUCACUGUAAUGUUUCGCGCGGCAAGCUAUGUCAUUUGUGUUCUGGUUUGAGAGAGCUAACUUUUUGUUUUUGAAUGGAAAAGAAGAGAGUCGAUGACUAUGAACCAGGUCCAGUUCCUUCACCAAGAGCGCUGGAUAGAUUUGGGUUUGUAAAACAGGAUGCUACCACUUCUGAGGGCGUAGUUAAGACGAGUAGAUCAGCUUAUGAGUACGAGAGAAUUAAGGAGCAGAGAAGGGUUAGAAAAUGGAGGAAGAUGAUUGGGGUUGGUGGGAGUGAUUGGAAGCAUUACCUAAGAAGAAAACCUCAUGUUGUAAAAAGGCGUAUAAGGAAAGGAAUUCCUGAUUGUUUAAGGGGUCUUGUUUGGCAAUUAAUAUCGGGAAGCCGAGACCUAUUGCUGAUGAAUCCUGGAGUUUACGAGCAAUUGGUGAUAUAUGAGACAUCAGCUUCUGAACUGGAUAUAAUUCGAGACAUUUCUCGGACUUUCCCUUCACAUGUAUUCUUUCAACAAAGACACGGACCUGGACAGCGGUCCCUUUACAAUGUUCUAAAAGCUUACUCAGUCUUUGACAGAGAUGUAGGAUAUGUUCAGGGAAUGGGGUUUUUAGCUGGUCUUUUGCUUCUUUAUAUGAGUGAAGAGGAUGCAUUUUGGUUAUUGGUGGCGUUGCUUAAAGGAGCCGUUCACGCCCCAAUGGAGGGGCUGUAUCUGGCCGGAUUGCCUCUGGUACAGCAAUACCUCUUUCAAUUUGAACGCUUGGUGCGGGAGCAUCUACCAAAGUUGGGAGAGCACUUUUCCCAAGAAAUGAUAAAUCCUAGCAUGUAUGCAAGUCAGUGGUUCAUAACAGUAUUUUCAUAUUCCUUUCCAUUCCAUUUGGCUCUUCGAAUUUGGGAUGUCUUUCUCUAUGAGGGUGUUAAAAUUGUUUUUAAAGUUGGCUUAGCUCUAUUAAAGUACUGCCAUGAUGACUUGGUUAAAUUGCCUUUUGAGAAACUGAUACAUGGUUUGAAAAACUUCCCCGAGGAUGCAAUGAAUCCUGACACAUUAUUGCCGCUUGCUUAUUCCAUCAAGAAAAUCAUGUGUCAUAGCAUUGUCUUUUAGCCUUUUCAAUGGUAGUUCGCAUGAGAAUUAAGGAGGAAAGGAUUUGCAAGGAUAUCAAAUUUAUACUAGGAGAGAUCCAAACUAUCCAGUAUGAGCUAUUGGUUCUUGAUGCUGUGCAUUUCAAAAGUGGGAAAAGGAGAAACCAAACAAACUGUUAUUUUAUAAGAGAAAAUAAUUGUUUGGUUUAUUCAUGUGAAGAGAUACAAGGAUUAAAGUUCGUUAACCAAUCUGCUUCAACUUAGGAAAUGUAUAAUACUAUAAAAAAGAAAGAAAAUUUUAAGUAUGCUUUGUUACUGUAUGUUAAGAGGCUUAGUCUUUGUUUAGAACUGGUAGCUUCAUAUUGGGCGCGCUAAGGGAGUGCUAACACGGAAUCAAACACACCCUUAAUUAGUUAGUUUUUUAGUUAGUUAUUAAGGAAUUAGUUAAUUUGUUAGUUAGUGGGUGGUUUAGAGAGAUAGUUAAGAAAGAUAAGGCAUGUUGCCUAUAAAUAGAGAACAACGAUUAGAGAGAGGAUGAUCUUGUCAUUUGUAUAGACUUGGUGUCUUUUAGGCAAUUGGGAGAGUCUAGACUCUCAAAUACUCUACAAAUAGAUUGAAAUCUUUGUUCUUUCCCUCAAUUCGGCAAUAAUACAAGUUGUUUUCUAUCAACUGGUAUCAGAGCAAUUCUAAUCUAGGGGGAUUGGGUGUGAAGAUAGCUACAACAUUGAUUCCAAGAUUUGAUGGAAGGGAGGCUGAUCCAGGCAGAGCAAUAUUUUGGGGCAAGAAGAAUGGGUGAAGAGUUGAAACUUCGGUGGGUUUUUUGGAAGGAGAGCAAUCCAAAUACUUCUUGUUGGGGUUUUCCGAAGGCCAUUCUCAGCAAUUCGAGCAAGAAGACUAGGGAUGUGUUUAAGAUUCAGAACCAGAGCAGAAAAUCAAAUUUAACAGUGACGAAAGUCAUGAACAAAUGAAGGUGAGGGAAGAAUUUGAUAAACAGAAAGAACAAGAAUUGGAGGAAUCAAUGAUCUUAGAACAAAAGGCACACCAAGAAUGAGAACAACAGCGUAUGGGUAUGCACCUACUUGAUGAAAGGGAAAAAGCGGAGAUCAGGACCAAGAAAGAAAGUCAGAUGGAGAAGGUUGGUCUUCAAGAUUACUUCAGUGUCAGCUGAGGAGGGGAACAAGAUGCUAGUGAUGAGAAAUGUGUGGAGUUAUUGGUGCGGUUGACGUUGUUACAUUUCCGGUGAUACAAAUGAGAUGGUAAAAGCUGCAAUGGCAUUGCCGGCAAAAACAGAAUUUGGUGAUGCAAAGGUAAUAGCAACAGCUGCAAUAAUAUUGCUGUAGGUGCUGCCAAAAGCAAGUUCCACCAUGGGCAGAGAUGGGUCAUCAGCCGCGUCAAAAUUCUGGUUGACUGAAUUGUUGUUGCUGGAACUGUUAAAUGCUACUGAAUAUUUGGGUUGCAUCUAGGUGAAGAAGAGAGAUUGGUGUAUUAGGAAAACUGGGAAAGGAAGGAUCAUAUAUGAAGUUCAGUUUUUGUGCUGAGUUGGUGAUUUAAUACGUGAAGCCCAAUUUCACGAAGAGAAAAGGCAGGCCUCAGGGAAAACAGAGCUACAUGACUCUUGGGCUCAUAAUAUGUUAGGAAUAAGGGACAAACUUUUCCUACCCCACAAAGUCACUUCAGAAGUACACAUCUAGAAAAAACACACUUCUUAUGUCGUCUGAAAGUAUACUUCCAGAGACCAACACAGUUUUUCCUUGCCUGGAAGCCAUCUGGACAAGUGCGGGUUGUUUUUUAGAAACGUGAGAUAACAAAGCGUUUAGAGGAACUUAAACAAGAGUAUGAGAAGAAGAAUGGAAAGAUCACUCGAUCCAGAGAACUUUCCAAAAAGCCAAUUCUUCCAAGCAUCCAGAGCAACUGAAGCAGGAGUAUAAUACCAUCGAGGUCUAGCUCAAGUGAUUGGUACUCAGUGUGUGUGAGUGUUGUAAACCUCGGGGGUACCGAGUUCGAUUUCUACUGACAGAAAAAGCAGGAGUAUAACAAGCAAAAAGAAAUUAUUGGACCUGCAGAACUAUUUGUAAAGCAAACACCUCAAAGAGAAGGUUUCUUUUGCAGCCAGUGUGAGAAUCAUACUCUAUGAUUCUUUAAUUGUGACCAUGUCAAAUACUUUGUACAGUUAUAUUAGUUGCUGAUCAUCACGUAAUUGUGUUUUUAGGCUUCAGUGAAUGUGAAAAUUUGUGUAUCUAAAUUCUAAAGACUGAUAUGGGUCUCUUGACUCCAUUAUUUCUUCUUGUUUCCUAUUAUGUAAUAAUAUGGAAUUUUCAUAGAAAUUGUGAUUAUUGUUCUUGUGAAAGUAGAUGCAGCAGAUAGUGUUCAACUUCU